rnacentral:rRNA from 1 species
UACGGAGGGUGCAAACGUUGCUCGGAAUCAUUGGGCGUAAAGCGCACGUAGGCGGUCUGCUAAGUCGGGAGUGAAAGCCCUCGGCUCAACCGAGGAAGUGCUUUCGAAACUGGCAGACUUGAAUACUGGAGAGGAUCGCGGAAUUCCCGGUGUAGAGGUGAAAUUCGUAGAUAUCGGGAGGAACACCAGUGGCGAAGGCGGCGAUCUGGACAGAUAUUGACGCUGAGGCGCGAAAGCGUGGGGAGCAAACAGG